AACGCGAAGAACCUUACCCAGGCUUGACAUGCAGAAGACAACACCAGAGAUGGUGUGUUCCUUCGGGACUUCUGCACAGGUGCUGCAUGGCUGUCGUCAGCUCGUGCCGUGAGGUGUUGGGUUAAGUCCCGCAACGAGCGCAACCCUUAUCGUUAGUUGCCAACAUUUCGGAUGGGAACUCUAACGAGACUGCCUGGGUUAACCAGGAGGAAGGUGAGGAUGACGUCAAGUCCGCAUGGCCCUUAUGUCUGGGGCUACACACGUGCUACAAUGGCCGGUACAGAAGGCAGCGAAUCCGCAAGGUAGAGCAAAUCCAGAAAGCCGGUCCCAGUUCGGAUUGUAGUCUGCAACUCGACUACAUGAAGUUGGAAUUGCUAGUAAUGGCGUAUCAGCAACAACGCCGUGAAUACGUUCCCGGGCCUUGUACACACCGGUAUCUC
rnacentral:rRNA from 1 species